GUGGUAAUGCCGGAUGCUCCAGUUGAUCGCAUGGUCUUCUGGGAAAGCCUUUGCGGCAUGGGAUGGGGUCGCGUCCUAUCAGCUUGAUGGCGGGGUAACGGCCCACCAUGGCUUCGACGGGUAGCCGGCCUGAGAGGGCGACCGGCCACAUUGGGACUGAGAUACGGCCCAGACUCCUACGGGAGGCAGCAGUGGGGAAUAUUGCACAAUGGGCGCAAGCCUGAUGCAGCGACGCCGCGUGAGGGAUGGAGGCCUUCGGGUUGUAAACCUCUUUUGUUAGGGAGCAAGGCACUUUGUGUUGAGUGUACCUUUCGAAUAAGCACCGGCUAACUACGUGCCAGCAGCCGCGGUAAUACGUAGGGUGCAAGCGUUAUCCGGAAUUAUUGGGCGUAAAGGGCUCGUAGGCGGUUCGUCGCGUCCGGUGUGAAAGUCCAUCGCUUAACGGUGGAUCCGCGCCGGGUACGGGCGGGCUUGAGUGCGGUAGGGGAGACUGGAAUUCCCGGUGUAACGGUGGAAUGUGUAG
rnacentral:rRNA from 1 species